rnacentral:rRNA from 1 species
UAGUUUGACUGGGGCGGUCUCCUCCUAAAGAGUAACGGAGGAGCACGAAGGUUGGCUAAUCCUGGUCGGACAUCAGGAGGUUAGUGCAAUGGCAUAAGCCAGCUUGACUGCGAGCGUGACGGCGCGAGCAGGUGCGAAAGCAGGUCAUAGUGAUCCGGUGGUUCUGAAUGGAAGGGCCAUCGCUCAACGGAUAAAAGGUACUCCGGGGAUAACAGGCUGAUACCGCCCAAGAGUUCAUAUCGACGGCGGUGUUUGGCACCUCGAUGUCGGCUCAUCACAUCCUGGGGCUGAAGUAGGUCCCAAGGGUAUGGCUGUUCGCCAUUUAAAGUGGUACGCGAGCUGGGUUUAGAACGUCGUGAGACAGUUCGGUCCCUAUCUGCCGUGGGCGCUGGAGAACUGAGGGGGGCUGCUCCUAGUACGAGAGGACCGGAGUGGACGCAUCACUGGUGUUCGGGUUGUCAUGCCAAUGGCACUGCCCGGUAGCUAAAUGCGGAAGAGAUAAGUGCUGAAAGCA